CCCUUAGAUGUUCUGGGCCGCACGCGCGCUACACUGAUGCAUUCAACGAGCCUAUCCUUGACCGACAGGUCCGGGUAAUCUUUGAAUCUGCAUCGUGACGGGGAUAGAUUAUUGCAAUUAUUAAUCUUCAACGAGGAAUGCCUAGUAGGCGCAAGUCAUCAGCUUGCGUCGAUUACGUCCCUGCCCUUUGUACACACCGCCCGUCGCUCCUACCGAUGGGUGAUCCGGUGAAUGAUUCGGACUUCAGCGGCUCCUCUGGGGUGCGCCGGAGAAAGUUUUGUGAACCUUAUCACUUGGAGGAAGGAGAAGUCGUAACA
rnacentral:rRNA from 1 species